GCCCGCAUAGCUCAGUGGUAGAGCGCGUCACUAGUAUCUGUAUCCAUCUCCCGAUCCAGGGAGAUGCGAUCCGUAUCAUGACGAGGUCUUCAGUUCAACUCUGGAUGUGGGCA